rnacentral:lncRNA from 1 species
UAUUCUCAAGUUUAAACUAGUCCUAAAAUACAAAAAUGCUAAUUCUUCACUAACUAACAAUGCCCAAUUUUAAAAUGCCCAAUUUUUUUAAAAAAAACCCAAAAAUAAAAAUCUUCAAUUAUCUAUACCUAACUAACAAUAAUCAAAUCAAAUUAACAAUUGAAUAACACAACCAAAAAAACAAAAUUAAUAAUAUACUAACAAACAAUCAAUCAUAAUCACUUGAAUUGAAAAAAAAAACUAAAAUUAACCCCCCCUACCUGCAGUGACGACGACCGGUGACGGGGAAGGGCGGCAGGCCAUGGGGAAGGGGAGCACUGGCUGAGGACGACGACCGGCGACGGCGACGACUACGGAGGAUCGAUAUGUAUAUAUAUAUAUAGAGAGAGAGAGAAGGGAGAGAAUAAGAGUGAAGAGAGAGAGGAAAAUAAGAAAAUGGCAAUAUGUCUUUUAGAUAUUUAAUAAAAAGGGACGGACAACGUCUCUAAAUCCUUCGCUUUUUUUAAAUAUAGUUGACCAACAUUUUGACCAAAAACCGACGGACUAAGAGACACUGUCCGUCGCUUUUUAAAAAUAGUUGACUAGAUAUUUUGACCAAAAAGCGACGGACUAAGAGAUGCCGUCCGUCGCUUUUUAAAUUAAUUAAUAAAUAAAUAAAUUAAAAUAGACGGACAACGUGGUUAUUUUUUAAUUUAUAUAUAUAAUUAUUUUUAAUAAAAAGCGAUGGACGGUGUCUCUAUAUAUAUUAAAUAAAUAAUUAUUAAUUAUAUAUAUAUUUAGUGCAAAAAUCCGCGAAAAAAAAAGCGACGGACUUAGAGAUGCCGUCCGUCGCUUUUUGUAAAAUAAUUUUAAAAAUAAUUAUUUUUAUUAAAAAGCGACGGACAAUGUGGCAAAAGGCGUCGCUUUUUGGAGUGACGCCGUCCGUCGCUUUUUUAGUUCGUCAUUUUUAAGCUGUUUUUUAGUAGUGAUGUAUGUCAAUGAAAUACCAUAUAUCCUUAGCAUGUCUGCUUGGAUGUCUGUUGGUGUGUAAACGGUCUUCAGAUCGACAUACUUUUCAACCAACAUUGCCCCAAGCACAUCACUUGUUGAUUGUCGCUUUGAUUGAAUGCGGUCCUUCAAAGGACAAGAAUGUGUAUCAUAGAAUUUUCUCACUUUGAAUAACUUUGAAUUAUUCAAACAUGAGGAUUUAAAAACCCAUGAACAAUUUUCUGUAGCACACUUUAGAUAGUAACUGCAAAAACUCAUGCAUUAAUAUACAUCAUAAGUUGUUAAAAUAUAUUGGUAAUUUUUAAAAUCAACAUAUAUAAUAACUCACCAGGUAGGACUUGAUCUUUUUGCAAUGAAACAAAACUCUCUUAGAAAUGCAUAUCGUUUCAUAACUUCCGAUAUAGUUUGCUUGUUUAUAUAAACUUGAUCCUCGGCCACUAAAUAGUGUUGAGGAUUUGAAAUUAUUUCAGUUCCUUUAGAUUCUUCAAUAUAACCUUCCAAAAUUGGAUCCAUGUUAGUCAAACAUAGUGUGUUGGAUCCCAAAAUAUGUUGAUGUGUUGUUUGGACAUUAGUUUGGUACUCAAUGGAUUCCAUAGCUUUGUCCACACAUGUCACACAAAAAGGAUAUUUUGAAAAGAAAUCUGAAUUGCAUCUCUCUUGAUCUAAAUAAACUUGCACUCCCAUAUCGUUAUGUAUCUUCAUUGGUGGAGAUGGACCAUUAACGAAAUACUUGAGUUUCAAAUGAUAAAUUGUUGUGUCCACUCCCAAUUGUGAAGAUAUAGAUGUAAUAAAGCCUUCGUAUUUGGUGGUUGGAUCAUAAAUAACUCCUUCAAUAUUGGAAUCCACGUAAUUGCCUGUUUAAAAUAACAAAUUCUUCGUCAAAGAAAUACCAAACUAUUUUACCAAUAUUUUAACCAUUUAAUAAACGUAAAAAACAACAAUCAAAUAUUACAUACCCUUAAACCAAUUUUUAAAAUUUAUGAUUUUAUCAGGUUACCAUCAAUUAAUGUAGGAACUAUUUUUCAUAUUAUUAUUUACACCAAUUCACAUACUUAAAAUACACUAAAAUAUGUACCAUAUUUUUAUUUAUGAGGUUCUAAUUAUAUAUCAAACUUGUAGUUUUUUACACCACCAAUUGCACUAAAUAAUUUAUUACUGCACUCAUUUUAAUAUACGUAUGUUCAUAUGUGAGAUAAUAUAAAUUUGACCAAACAAUACACCAAAACAUACAUCAGGCUAUUUGUUUGGUGUUAGUUAUUAGCGAAAAUUAUACCAGAUCACAUACCAAAACAAAUACAGAAAUACAUAUCACAAACUUAUUGAUAUAAAAUAUUUGCUAUCAUACGACACACAUUAUACCAAUUAAACCUAAACUUUAACAAAAAAUUAAAUUUGACACAUCAGUGUACAACAAAAUCAUAUGAAGUUGUUGAAAUUACACCAAAAUUUCAACAAUCCAGAACAUCAACCAAAUUGUAUGAUUUAAUUUACACAAAAAUUGACAAACUAAACAAAACAAAUAACUACCAAAAAUUACAAAAUAGAUAUUUGUGAAAAAUCAAAUUCAACUACAUAAUAAAAUACCAUGAGAAUUAUUUUUUAUAUAAUUACCUGAUGAGUCCCAUCGUCCAUUGUGUUGAAUUAGAAUUGAGAAAUUAUUGGUAUGCAUUUUUUUGAUAGUCGUUCUUCUCAGAGAAAGGGAGUUUUUUUUUUGGUACGAAAUCUCUAUUUAUGGGAGAUAAUAUAUAGCAUAUUUGAAUAAAUUAGGAAAGGUAAAAUUAUUGGAGAAAUUUAUGGAAAUCGGGAUAAGCAUGGCUGAUUUGGAAUUUUUUUUUUUAAUUGAAAUUCUACUUUUGAAAAAAGAAAGUAUUGCUAUAUAAUUGAAAAAAAAAGUAUUGCUAUGUUGGUGUAAAUACAGUUAUUAAGUUGUAUAGUUAAAAAAUCGGCCCAAAAAUAAAUUUCCACAAAUCAUUGUGAUUUGAUUUUAGAAGACACAUAAUUGUUGCAUUUUCUGAAAAAAUAUUGUGCAUUUUCAAGAUUUUUGUUCAAGUAAUCUCACUCAUCUGCAUUUCCUCUAUUAGUUGGUAUUGAUCAUGGCUCAUGGACAAUAACUUAAUGCAUUGAUUUGUAAUAAUUGAAUGUUGAUUAUGCAAGUAUAUGUAACUUUCAAAUGUAUAAAACUCAUCGUUGAUCUUACCUGUUGUCCCAACUAUCUUCUUUGAGUAUGUGUUUAGUUGACACACAUUAAUUGGUUUUCUAGUAAGGUUCUUUUGGAAGGUUAUUUUCCUCAAUCCUUUGAUGGGUGCACUUAACCAGAAAUGGACUCCUGAAGAAGAAUCUGCUCUUAAAGUUGGGGUCCUUAAAUAUGGGACAGACAAAUGGCGUACAACUCUUAAGGAUCCAGAAUAUAGUGGUGUGUUGUAUCUGCGUUCAAAUGUUGAUCUUAAGGUAGAGUUUUGGCUCAAUAUUUUUUAUAAAAUUAAUUUUAUUCAGUGUAUAGUUCUUCAAUGUAUUAUGUUCCCUAUAACUACUUAGUUAAACAAAAGUCUUGAUACAACUAUCUACCUUUGUGAUAUAUAUAGGACAAGUGGAGAAACAUGACAGUGAUGACAAAUGGCUGGGUUCUAGAGAUAAAGCAAGGUUGACUUUGAAAAGAGUGGUUCAGGCCCCUAUGCAAGAUGAGAGUAUUGUGGUUGUUACCUCGACAGCUGAAAGUCAUGAGGAACUUCCUGGAGCAAGGCCAGCCACAACUUUUAGUAGCUCUCCACAUAAUGGUGGUUCAAGAAGAACUCUCCUAAGGUUAUUCUUUUCGGGGAUUCUUAGUUGUUACAACACCAUUCUCAUGUUAUAAUCUUGUAUAUUUCUUUGUCCUUAUAGAUAUCACUAGUUUUGGGUUCAUGCAUUGCACAUAUAUUCCUAUUAAUUGGUAUCAAAAUCUUCUACACAAUUUCUACUGAUAUGUUACAUGAUAAAAAUAGAUAUUAAAGUAUAUCGAAAAAUACAAGUUUCUAAAGAUAAUGAAUAUUAAUCUUAUACUUUAAUUACCUUACACUUGCAUUCAAAAUAGAUUUAAUAUUUGCAAAGUUGAAAUAUAAAUUAAGGUAGUUUUGGUAAUAUAUAUAUAAAAUAGUUUCUUUAUAUCAAACAUGCAUACAUGUUACUCUAUGAUGUAAAAGAAUACAAUAUAUCUUUAAAAUGUGUUUUUUUAUAGAACAUUCCACACAACUUUUAUAUUAGAUUUGAGACAUAUUUGUCUACCUAAAAUAAUUUACACGUAAAUGCUUUCUUGUCCACCUGAAAAAGAUAAUGCAAAAGAAAAAAAAAUCCUAAUUGAAUUUAAAUGCAAACCAGUUUAAUUAGUAUUAUAUGUUGUAUCAAGUGGUUAUUUGGCCUUUUGUCUUAAAGAUAUUGCUACAUGAAAUUUACUUCAACAUAUAUGGUGUGAGAAUUUUAUUAAGUCAUUAAGGCAGUAAAUAUUUAUUAAAAAAUGUAAAAAUAUGAUAUUAUGAAUGAUUGUAAUGUAACUUUUCAUCUAGGGUAUUUCCACUUGUAAUAUGAUACAUGAUAUAUUAUUUAAUGAUUAAUUAAAUGAUUUAUAAUAUUAUAAUUUAGUGUAGGGAACAAAAUGAUAAUCUAAUUUUGCAUUUUAAAGCUUCCUACUUUUAAUAAUAUUAGUUUUUCGACACGUGCGUUGCACGUGAUUAUCAAUUCAGAAAAUUUAAGCGAAUAUUUGAAUAAUAAGCUUUGCACAAAAUAAUAUUGCAUAUUCUUUUGUGAAUGUUCAGUGUGGAUAGUCAUAUAUAUCUCUUAUUCACACGGACCUAUGAAGAUGGUCAAUGAAAACAUUUAUUUGUUAAAUGCAAUAAUGUAUAUAUUUAUUUCAAUUUGAUGAGGUUUAAUCAUGUAAUUAGUCGUAUCUCAGUAAUAUUACCUUAUAGACGAUAUUUGUUGUGUAUUUUUUUGUUGUCAUCUAACCAGAUGUGCUUUGCACUUGUAUUCCACUUAAUUUGUUUAGAUGUCAUAUGAACAUGAGGAGGACAACUACAUUUUAUUUUUUAGAACUAUUUUUGUAUAUUAAUUUUUAUUUUAUAAGUUAUAAUAUAAUAGAUGACGUUCUUUUCGUUGGCUAUCAUAUUUGACUUCUCGAUUGACUGUGUAUAUAAAUCAAAGAUAGUAAUCUGACUGUCCAUAGUUAACCAAGAAAGGUUUCCUUUUUUUACCGAAAAAUUGAAAAAUUAAAAUUAAAGAAUAUAUUCUAUAUGUGAGAUCAUAUAUAUAAUCACAUGUUUAUCUUACACCCAACAAAGAUAUAGUUCUUAUACUUGUAAAUAAUUUUGUUAUAUAAUAAUUUUAUAUUGGUAUUCAUGAAAAUUUAAAUGUGAUAUAUCUGAUAUACAUAAUAUAUAAUAUGAUAUACAAUGUCAAGAAGCAUUUUCCACAUCUGAUUAUUUUUUAUAUAUUUAUCUCUUCGACGGAACUGUUAAUCAUAGUAUAUAUUGAAUCCCCUAUAGCUUUUUGUGUGUUUCUUUUUCUCCAUAUUUUGAAUGUUCUACUGAAAAUUUUGAUUUCACCACUACUUUGUCGCCGGAAGACACCGGGGUCGUUUGGUUUGAAAAUGAGUUAUGAUGGGAUAAGUUAUGUUGGGAUAAGUUAUGUUGGGAUUAGUUAUGAUGGGAUAAGUUGUGUUGGGAUUAUUUUUUAUUGAGUGUUUGGUUUGUUGUAUUCAAAAUAAUAAAUUUUAAGAACAAUUUAUUUGUUUACAAAAAUGCCCUUCAUUAAUGUAAAAAGUGAUAUAACAAAAGGGUUGAAAGAGACUUUUUUGUCAUUUACCUAUUUUAUCCCAGGAUAACUCUUUUUUGUCAUUUACCUAUUUUAUCCCGGGAUAAGUUAUCCCGGGAUUACUAUACCACCCUAGGUUAGGGAUAACUUAUCCCGGUACUAAUUAUUAAUCCCGGGAUAAGUUAUCCCGAACUUGCCAACCAAACAACAAAAUAAGCGGUACUAUAAUUUAAUCCCGGAACUAUUUGGUAUUAUCCCUCACACCAAACGACCCCUUAGUAAUAACUAAGAGAUUUUAUAAUGCUAUAACUAAAGGAUAAAUGUGAAAUAGAUGAAUUUCUAAUAAAUUUUAUACUUACAUAAACAAAUAGGACUUUUAAUUAAUGUUACUAUUUUUUUUAUAGUUAUUAGAUUUAAUUUAGUGUAGGGACAAAAUGAAAAUGUUUAUUCAAUAUUACUGAAUAUAAAAUUUAUUUUGUUAAUGAUAAAUUUUAAGUGAUUCAUAUAUAUUCACAUAUUUUCACAUUUGUUGUGAGUUUUUUUUUUAAAAAAAGAACUCGAAAAAUUUUAAAAUAAUAUAUUUUGAAGUUAGUGUUGACACCCAAUAUUGGACCUCCACAAUAUAAAUUAAUCAUUUCGAGUUUCUUCGAUAUCAAACGAUUUAAAAUAAUUAGUUUUAUAAAAAUUUCCAAAAAAUAAAAAUAAUACUCCCUCCGUCCCAUUUUAUGUGGCAACAUUUGACCGGGCACGGAGUUUAAGAAAUAAAUGAAGACUUUGAAAUGUUUACCAAAUUGCCCUUUAAAAAGUAGACUCACUUUUCUCUCUCCUCCUAAAUGUAUUGAAGUAUUAUUUUAAGAUUAAGUGGGACCAACAAGGAUAAAAGAGGAAUUGUACCUUUAAAUACUUACCAUAUAAGGAAAUGUGACAUUCUUUUUAGGACUGACAAAAAAGGAAAUGGUGCCACAUAAAAUGGGAUAGAGGGAGUAAUAAUAUAUCUUGCAAGUUAUUUUAAAUAGUUUUGUCACUUUUUAUAAUUUUUAGAUAAUAUAUAUGUUUUACAUAAUUAUAUAUAUAAUUAGUAUAUUUUAUAAUUAUUCAAAAAUCGUCUCAAAAAGAUUUUAUUUUAAUUAAAUAUUUGGUUAAUUAGAUAAGUUAUAUAAUAGUUUAUAUUUUAAAUUGUUUAGUUAAUAUUUGAGUUAACUAUUUUAUUUCGGUAAGAUUAGGAAGUUCGUUGGGUAAUUAUAUUAAUUCAUCUUUACUUAUUUGUUAGUCAAGUUUGCUAAUUAAUUUCAAUUUGACUAUAUUCACAAUUCAAUGGACCCAUUUUAAAUUCUUCCAGCCCACCGGUUCCAUUUCCUCACAUUCCUAGCCCAAAUCCAUUCUUUUUAACUCCACUAAACAAACCCAAAACACAAUACGUACACCAAUAUAAAAAUUCCAAGCAGCCUACUAAUAUUCCCAGCCCACUUUUAUCCCUUAACCUGACCAAACACUUUUCUAUACCAAAAGAAAGACCCAUCAAUCCUUUCAACCAACAAUACACACACCAGCCGACCCCACUGCCUAUGUUUUCUUCUCCAGACGUGAAACCCAGCAGCAGGAGCCCAAAAAUCGUGACUGAAAUGCGAGCAGCAGUCCAGACGCGAGCCCAACGAAUCUAUCCCAUCGUGUGUCGUUCUCCCCUCAUCCUUAUCCUCUCGUACAUAAUUUUCUCAAUCGAUACAGGUGGAAGCAUCGUGUUGCCUCUUCGUUCUUCAUCUAAGAUCGAGCGGCUAUCAUCUCGAAUCCGUUGGAAUUGUACGAAAUCAGUACUAUUCCAGCUCUCACAAUCUUAUCUCUUAGAGAUUUUUUGAAUUCCAAAUGGGAAAUUCAUCCCAUUUGCUUCACCCGAUUCCCCCCCCCCCCAAUCUGCCCUAAUUCCCUCUAUAUAAAUCCCCUCUUUACCUUCAGUUUAGGAGUGGAAAAAAAUAGAGGUGGGAGAACAUAGUUUAUAUAUAAAGGUUGGAGAAAAAAAGAAACGAAAAAGAUCUAGAAGAGAGAUAUUCAUAGAAAAUACUAAUUUUAAAAUAGCCAUAUAUACUCAACAGAGGUUCUCUUUUCUUUGUUCUUUGUUUGCCGAAGCUCGUUGGAGUUCUCGAAAUCUCGUUGUGGUCGUGGAAAUCUCCCUGCUCGUUCUGGUCUCAGUUACGCUGCUCAAGAAGUGGUAAACAACUCUUGGCCUUUUUUUUUCUUCAUUCCUAUUCCAAUGAGUGUUGAAUUGUAAAAUAUUCCUUGUUGAUUCUGAGAUGAGUUCAUAUGACCUGUUUUGAUUCUAAGUUAUUUUUAUCAUCUUAUUUCUCUCAGAAAUCGGCAGUGUAUGUUUUCAUUCUAAAGAUGGUAUCACCUGUUUAAGCUUGUUAUCUAUGUUUAUGGUCUUUCUCGAGUUCAUUGGUUGUUGUGCUCAUUUUCAUUUUGGCUUGUUCACUUAACCUAACAUUGAUACUGCUCUGUU